rnacentral:lncRNA from 1 species
GGGAAAUAGGUACUGGAGGGACAGCAGCAGGAGGAACUGGAGGAAUGGAUUGUGGAAAAGAGACGGGAGGAAGCUGUUGGUGAGAUUGUGGAGGUGCAGAUGCUGCUUGUUGCAGAUGCUGGUGAGACUGUGGAGGGGCAGAUGCUACUUGCUGCAGCUGCUGGUGAGAUUGUGGAGGGGCAGAUGCUGCUUGCUGAACAGUGUCCAUGUGCACAGAGUUUUGGAUUUCCGAUUGUUGCUGGUCUCCCUUGGACACCUGCAGCUUCGCAAUUUGUAGCUGAGCCUCGACUACUUCCUGCUUCUCCUUUAAAAGAUAUACCCCACUU